GUAGUCGGAUUCGCAUCAAUCCAUAUAUGUUGGGGUGGGUUGGAGUGAAACUUAAACUAAAUUCCACUCUAAUCCACUCCAACCUAUGUGAAUUGAGGUGAAUCUGAUA
rfam:Sorghum bicolor cultivar BTx623 chromosome 6, whole genome shotgun sequence.